UAUAAAAAAAUGUUUAAAAAUGAUUUUACCUGCAUUUAUGCUGUAUUACCUUUUAGGGUAUCAAUGAUUUCAAAUUUAGUAAUGAUCCUAAAAUAUAGAUCAUUUCUAUAUUGUUUCUUAUAUGUUCCAUUUAAUAUAUUGGUAGUUCAGCACAUUUAAAUUUGGAAAGAAAAUGGAGCCCCUGAAAAAUAAGACACACACGCAAGUUUACAAAAUGUUGAUGCCACUGAAAUUUGAGGGGUGAGUCGAAAAGUAUCAGAGGAAAGGCAGACAAUGCAAGUCUAUUCAAUAUCUGGUUAUGAACAGUGAGAUAUGUAUGGAAUGUGA